AGCGAACGCUGGCGGCAGGCCUAACACAUGCAAGUCGAGCGCCGUAGCAAUACGGAGCGGCAGACGGGAGAGUAACACGUGGGAACGUGCCCUUUGGUUCGGAACAACCCAGGGAAACUUGGGCUAAUACCGGAUAAGCCCUUACGGGGAAAGAUUUAUCGCCGAAGGAUCGGCCCGCGUCUGAUUAGCUAGUUGGUGGGGGAAUGGCCCACCAAGGCGACGAUCGGUAGCUGGUCUGAGAGGAUGAUCAGCCUCACUGGGACUGAGACACGGCCUAGACUCCUACGGGAGGCAGCAGUGGGGAAUAUUGGACAAUGGGCGCAAGCCUGAUCCAGCCAUGCCGCGUGGGUGAUGAAGGCCCUAGGGUUGUAAAGCCCUUUCGGCGGGGAAGAUAAUGACGGUACCCGCAGAAGAAGCCCCGGCUAACUUCGUGCCAGCAGCCGCCGUAA
rnacentral:rRNA from 1 species